rnacentral:misc_RNA from 1 species
ACAAACUUGGUCAUUUAGAGGAAGUAAAAGUCGUAACAAGGUCUCCGUUGGUGAACCAGCGGAGGGAUCAUUACCGAGUUUACAACUCCCAAACCCAUGUGAAUUUACCUUUACGUUCCCUCGGCGGCGUCCUCUCCCUCACGGGGGAAGUCCCGCCAGAGGACCAAACCAAACCCUGAAUUUUAUUAGUAUUAUUCUGAGUGAUUUAAAAAAUAAAUCAAAACUUUCAACAACGGAUCUCUUGGUUCUGGCAUCGAUGAAGAACGCAGC